UCUUAAGGAUGAGCAAAGGAAGUGGUUUCUUGAGAUGGAAUCUACUCCUGGUGAAGUUGCUGUGAG
rnacentral:pre_miRNA from 1 species